GCAGUACAAAGAUUCCCAGAACAUAAUUAAUUACAAUUCUAAUUCCAUCACUUUCAAGGAAGUACCAUUUAUUUUCAGUGACAAUACUGCCAGUUCCUUUUUCAGUGCGUGUAAAAAUUACUCAUUUCUGGGCCUUUUGAGCAAACAAGGGUCUAUACACUAUUAAGAUCUAACAUUCUUUCAGAUAAUUUCAAGGUUAAAAAAUCUGUAAUUCUAAUGUGAUCUGAAAAAAUAGGAAUUUCUUUUCCAGGAUUUUUUCACAGAUAUUCAGGAAAAAAUGGGAGAAGUAUGUUAAUGCCUAAGCUGUCAUUGCUUACAAUUUUUGCUAACCAAAUUAACAAACAAUGCUGCGGUUUCAUUAAUUAAAGCAUUCAAUUUAAGUUCCACUGUGACAAAUUUUUAAGUCCAUUAAUUUAACUUUAAUUCAAAGUACUCUUCAGAAUUAAGUGUAGCUGAAAUUAGCUUAAUUAAAACAGUACAACUUCUAGUUGUUAGUGCUUUCAUUCUAGUUUAUAACUGACCACAUAACUGGACAACGAUAAGACAACAAUAGUCCUGAAUCCGCUUGCAUGAAUCCACAAAAGGUGUAUUAGUAAUGAAAUAAG